CUGGGCGUAAAGCGUGCGCAGGCGGUUUUGUAAGACAGUGGUGAAAUCCCCGGGCUCAACCUGGGAACUGCCAUUGUGACUGCAAGGCUAGAGUGCGGCAGAGGGGGAUGGAAUUCCGCGUGUAGCAGUGAAAUGCGUAGAUAUGCGGAGGAACACCGAUGGCGAAGGCAAUCCCCUGGGCCUGCACUGACGCUCAUGCACGAAAGCGUGGGGAGCAAACAGGAUUAGAUACCCUGGUAGUCAAGGGCG
rnacentral:rRNA from 1 species